rnacentral:rRNA from 1 species
AGUGAACGCUGGCGGUAGGCCUAACACAUGCAAGUCGAACGGCAGCACAGUAAGAGCUUGCUCUUACGGGUGGCGAGUGGCGGACGGGUGAGGAAUACAUCGUAAUCUACUUUUUCGUGGGGGAUAACGUAGGGAAACUUACGCUAAUACCGCAUACGACCUACGGGUGAAAGCAGUGGAUCUUCGGACCUUGCGCGAUUGAAUGAGCCGAUGUCGGAUUAGCUGGUUGGCGGGGUAAAGGCCCACCAAGGCGACGAUCCGUAGCUGGUCUGAGAGGAUGAUCAGCCACACUGGAACUGAGACACGGUCCAGACUCCUACGGGAGGCAGCAGUGGGGAAUAUUGGACAAUGGGCGCAAGCCUGAUCCAGCCAUACCGCGUGGGUGAAGAAGGCCUUCGGGUUGUAAAGCCCUUUUGUUGGGAAAGAAAAGCAGCAGGUUAAUACCCCGCUGUUCUGACGGUACCCAAAGAAUAAGCACCGGCUAACUUCGUG